rnacentral:rRNA from 1 species
AACAAAAACAUGUCUUUUUGAUUAUAAUUUAAAGUCUAACCUGCCCAAUGAUUUAUUUAAAUGGCCGCGGUAUUUUGACUGUGCAAAGGUAGCAUAAUCAUUAGUUUUUUAAUUGAAAGCUGGAAUGAAGGGUUGAAUGAAAAAAUAUCUGUCUCUAUUUAAAUUUAUUAGAAUUUUAUUUUUAAGUUAAAAAGCUUAAAUAUUUAUAAAAGACGAGAAGACCCUAUAGAGUUUUAUAUUUUAAAUAGGUUAAGUAUUAAGUAUUUAGUUAUUUAAUUUUUUUAAAAGUAUUUAAUUGGGGUGAUUAAAAAAUUAAGUAAACUUUUUUUUUAUUUUUACAUUAAUUAAUGAAUAUUUGAUCCUUAUAUAAAGAUUAAAAGUUUAAAUUACCUUAGGGAUAACAGCGUAAUUUUUUUUAAGAGUUCUAAUCGAAAAAAUAGAUUGCGACCUCGAU